UUAGCUUCUGGCACAGUGCUUGCACACAAUAGAUUCUCUGCUUGAAUUCUUUCCUCAGGGUUGGCACUGGAGAGCUGCAGAGAGGAGGCUGGAGAUUGGUCCUGAGAACACACCAGAGCUUUUCAGACUUCUGCUGGUGCUCCUCAUUGGCCUAACCCAACCAGAAGCUGAAGGGCAAGACUACCAAUUGAUGCAAUCCAUAAAGUAUGGUCAACUAAGAAGUAUCACGUUGAGUUGGAGAAACCCAAGACUGGAGCCUGGAAUGUUCUAUAUCAACUGAGCUCAGACCUGAAAACUAGGUUAGGAUUAAAGUACGGUGUCCAGGUACACACUGUUUAAAAAAAUGCCAAGAAUGCAGUUUGACUCCUUGAGAUCCAGACUUCUGCUCCUGAUAAUAAGCAACAGACGCCAGUUGCUCAGCACUUUCCCGGGUGCUCUGCCUGGACUCCAGGGAAAAAGCUCGUCAUCGCACAGCACACUGGCCUGCUCUCGUGUGUCUUUCUCUUCCGUCUGGGGUGCACUUUCCCUCUUCUUCAUCUGGCUAACCCUUCAUCCUUCAGAACACUCCUCACUCCUCAUGGUGUCAAGGAAGCUUCUCCUGACACCCCCAGAGUCUGGAUUAAGUCCCGCCCCGUGUGCUUCUGUGGCAGCCCUGCCUGCCUCUACCAUGACUCUUACUCCACUGUCUUAAAGCCAGGUGUCCAUUCAUCUCAGUUCCCAGGAAGUCCGUGGUGUCUGGAAGAGAGGAACUACGUCUUUCAUCUUGAUAUUUUGAUGUCUAGUGCCCCGUAAAUAUGCAGUAGAUGUUUGUUGAGUGAAUGAAUGAGAAUUAUUGACUUUUUGGCGUCAAACUAUUCCAGACCCUGGUGAUCUCAAAUCCAUCAUCAUAUUCUGCACAAACUGAUUGAAUAUCGAUCCCUUGCCAUUGCUUCAGGUUGAAAAGAAAAAAAAAAAAAAAGACCUUUUGAAAAUAGGAUGUGCAAUUGUAGAAAAACAAAACUGUUCCUACAAGCCACACAUAAAUAUCAGUCUCAUUAUUUUAUGAUUAUCCUUCACAAGUGACUAAGAAAAUUUGAGAUGACUGAGUUGCAGUCAGACUUGAACACAUGCUUCAAGAAUCUUAACUUUGUUUGCUAGUACAAAACAGUUUCAACUGGAAAUGUCAGAAAGACAUCAUCUGGCCAGGAGAAGAUUUGCAAAUAGUGUUUUAUUUCAUUUCUGUCAAAACUUUACCUGGUUUGUUCCUAUAUCCCAAUCUUCAAAUUCUGUUUCUCAGUGAAACCUAUACCAUUGUCCUUGGACUCUCUCCUUGUGGACAUUAACCUGCCACACACAUAAAACUCUAUGUAAUUUGUUCAAUUCCACGUAAGUUAAUGAAUACUUACUACUCACAUUGUGCCAUUAUUGAGAUAAGGUCACGGAGUCAGGGUAUUUGUAUUCCGUAUUUUUUGUUUCUUAUUCUUUCAUUUCUUCACUCAACAAAUAUUAUAAAGCUUUCACGUAAAGGCACUGCUCCAAAUGCUAUUAGCUGAGGGGGAGUGGGGGUGGAGAUCAAUGCAUUCCUGAUUUCAGAGAAAUUAUAAUUAGUGAGAUAAGAUACGCAGGCAUACCAUAUUUAACAUCAACGCGAGCCGAUACUCUGAGAUACGUCCCAUGAUGAAUUCCUCAUGGUCGGUUCUCCCUGCCUGCAGGGUUUACCCUCACAGCAAGCAGGGCUGUGCUAGAAUGAAAGAGGUUUCAGACAUAGGCUAAUGUUUGAAAACAGGGCAAGUUACUAGACUCAGUUGCUUAACCUGUGUCUACUGUGCAUAGAAUGAUUGAGACGCGUAAACGUGGAAGUAUGUCAAAGUGGUGGCACAGAACACUCAGUUCUUGUGCCCGUUCUUCCCCAAGCCUCGGAGAGGAGGAAAAACACGCCGCGUCUUCCCCUCUACUCCGCCUUUGGGAAGGCCAUGUCCUCGGUGGAGUUAGGGGAUACCGGUGCCACAGGCAGGCAGAGCAACUCUGAUGGUCCUUUCCAAAGCAGGCAGAGAAAGCAGCCCUGGCCGCUGCCGCACUCUCAAGGGAGGUCCCUGGGGACUUUUCCUUUUGUCCUGUAAUUGAGACUAAGAGUUAAAAACAAGAGGAGCUAAGUCUAUCCCGGUGCUAAAGAAAGUUCACAACAAUCCAGCUGCCAGCCACCCUUCCCUGGGCUUGCAAGUGGCCACAGCAUCAGCCCCGGUGCACCAUGGUGCUCUCCCCUCGGCCUCUGCUGGAAGAAAGGGCAAGAAACGAGACUCAGAGCACCUUUGAGGUAAGUUUGAAACGGGACUGGACUUGUAAUAAUCAAGAGCGAUUGGAAAUUAUAAAAUCUGUCCAAGAUGUUGUGGAAGAACAAGGAAGGGGCUUAGAUACAGCGCAGCUAGAAGUAGUGAUGGGAAGAUACGGAAUGUUUUCAUAUUUAUACUGCUACCGAGUGUCCUUCGCAAACUCCAGGCGAACCCAGGGACACACGUGAGAGAGCUGCUCAUCUUGGGGGAAUGAGUAGACAAGGACAGGGAGCUCAUGGGCAGGAACGCUGCUGCCCUCCCCACUCCCACCCCCAGUCGUGGUCUGCUCUGAAUACGACACCCCACAACCCAAGCAGAAGCAAGAGCCUCCCAUUUAGGAGCAUGAGGGCUUGAUUAAAUUAAGUUGAAUUUGAAAGGGCUACCUACGUAAGUGGCUGGAGCAAGGAUCCUGUUAAUUUUUUUCAACCUCAGUUGGCUUACCUACAAAAUGGGGAUAAUAAAAGAACCUCCCUUUGAUGUUUCCUUGGGGUUGCUUUGAAAAGAAAAUAAAGCACUUAAAACAGUGCCUUGCAUAAUAGUUAGCGAUAAGUGUGUG